ensembl:snRNA U1 U1 spliceosomal RNA
AUACUUACGUGGCGGGGAGAUACUGUGCUCACAAAGGUGGUUUUCCCAGGGCGAAGCCUGUCCAUUGCACUUGGAUGCUUAGACCCUGCGAGUUCCCCAAAUGUAGGAAACGCGACUGCACAAUUUGUGGUAGUGGGAUGCUGCGUUCACGCUCCUGCCUG